rnacentral:tRNA from 1 species
UCCCUGGAGGACUAGUGGUUAGGCCACAGUGCUCUCACUGCUGUGGCCUGGGUUUGAUUCCUGGCCAGGGAA